GACGAACGCUGGCGGCGUGCCUAAUACAUGCAAGUAGAACGCUGAAGAGAGGAGCUUGCUCUUCUUGGAUGAGUUGCGAACGGGUGAGUAACGCGUAGGUAACCUGCCUUGUAGCGGGGGAUAACUAUUGGAAACGAUAGCUAAUACCGCAUAACAAUGGAUGACACAUGUCAUUUAUUUGAAAGGGGCAAUUGCUCCACUACAAGAUGGACCUGCGUUGUAUUAGCUAGUAGGUGAGGUAAUGGCUCACCUAGGCAACGAUACAUAGCCGACCUGAGAGGGUGAUCGGCCACACUGGGACUGAGACACGGCCCAGACUCCUACGGGAGGCAGCAGUAGGGAAUCUUCGGCAAUGGGGGCAACCCUGACCGAGCAACGCCGCGUGAGUGAAGAAGGUUUUCGGAUCGUAAAGCUCUGUUGUAAGUCAAGAACGGGUGUGAGAGUGGAAAGUUCACACUGUGACGGUAGCUUACCAGAAAGGGACGGCUAACUACGUG
rnacentral:rRNA from 1 species